GGAAGUUACAGAAGAAGAUCAACUUGGGAUUGAUAGCAGGAAAACCUCUUUCUAAAUACAGGCAUCUGCACAUAAAAAGACAGCCCACCUUACAGUUGCUGCAUUCCUGGGAUAAAAUCUGUUUGACUGUGAUACAGACAUUUUAAUAUAGCAUUAGAACAGAUUCAUGACAACUACCCCAAAAUACGGCACCUUUGCCUGUGUGGAAACAACAGAAGCAGGAAGAUUACUCUCAUUUUCCUCUGACCUUUUUCCCUUGAAGCAGACCAUAAAGAAGAAACUGACCUUCCUCUGAAGGAAACCUUCAUUCCAGACAUACCCUCCCUAUAUCCAAAGAAUAUCUUUAUCUUUAAAGACACAGAGAUGCCAAGAAGAAUCUGAACAAACAGGCCUUGCCAGAUCCCCUUGUUUACUAAUAUUGGACCAUACUCUUUUGUUCUUCAAUCAUACUUCUGUAUGAUGUCCAUAAAAAUACACAGUUUUCCCCAUUCCUUUGGGUAUUUAUUCCCGAAAGCUUCUGUGUCAUGUGUCAUGUAAAACUUAUAUUAAAUAAAUUUGUAUGCUUUUGCUUGUG